rnacentral:lncRNA from 1 species
GCCACCGCAAUAUGCGCUCCUCUUUCUUCUCUCCAAGAUCCAGCCGCGUACCACUCCACCACAACAGAACUUAACGGGUGAGCGCUCCACCAGAUGUGCUGCAUUUAUUUCUAUUUUUUGUUUCUAUUCCCAUUGAUUUCUUUCUAAAAUCCUGUUUAAAGUGACAAAAUCUGAAACUGAAAUCUGCACAUUAUGUUCUGUGUAUAAAUUUCGGUAGUAAACCGAACCGAUUUUUCGGUUAACCGAAGUUUCAGUUAGUAGAUUUGCAAGCUUAUUUCGGUUUCCAGAUUUGCUAACCGAAUAUACAAAAUAACCGAACAGUAGAAACUGAAAAAACGCCCAGGCCUAGUAAGUAGCAAGAAACAUGAAAACACUGGAGUAGUUGAUAACCCCUACACCAGCUGCAUUAUGAUUUACUCUGGAGUAUUGUGUUAUUUGUUGUUGCUUGCAAAUGUUGGAUUUGGUGGAACAUACAUUCCUCGUACCUUUUAUUUGCUUAAGCCCAUUUUAUUCUCGUGUUGAACAAUUGCAAGCUUGCAGCAUAGCUGAAGCAUUGCAAUCUACGGAGCUAAAGUAUUGUGAAGAAACAAACAUCUGAAUAAGUGUUCAGGCAAAAUAUGUGUGGAUCCGGAAGGUAGCACGAUUCUCAAUUCAUUCUUCAGAACCUACAUUUGAAUUCAUUAAAGUUUAAUUUACUGCAUCGUCAUGAUCUAAAACAUAAGAACACAUGUUUUUCAAUACAGUUUUGAGUGGCAUCCUAUGUAGGCUAACUUGUGCAAACUGGAAGAUACUUCAACAUAUUUCAGAGGCCUUAUUUGGUACAGAAGUAACAUUCAACACGACAGUAAAUCUUGACAUUAUUGGUAUUACCUGGUUCUACUUGUGGGGCCGAUGACUCGGGUUCUUCGACAUUAGCAAUUCAUUUGUCACCUUAGUAAUUCAAUAACUUUCAGUUUGUCACCUUAGCAAUUCAAUAAUACUCCCUCCGUUCAGAAUUACUUGUCUCGGAUAUGGAUGUAUCUAGAACUAAAAGAUACAUCCAUAUCCAAGACAAGUAAUUCCGAACGGAGGGAGUAGUAACUAUCACUACAAUUAAGAACAAAGAGUAUAUACUCAGCCCUAGAGAAGUAGCAUAGACCAACCUUCUCAACUAAUUCUUCUUGCGGGACAGUCUAAAUUCCUGGAGCUAAAAAAUUGCAGGAAGCGUUAGAUGGCAGCACUGUACUUGGGCUCAAGAUGCUACUAUGGUCACCCUGGAGGACACAUAAAAAGGAUAAAUAAAAAAAUUGACUAACCAAUAAUACAUUCAUUUGUCUCAAGUAUACACAUGUGAUUCAUUGAGCAUGUUAAUCUGAUGCAUCCAAUAAUUAGAUAAUGGCAUGUGGACACCUUCGUGUGUACAUUGUAUAUACCUUGAGCGUCACCAAGGAUUUGGAUGGCACCGCCGGUAGUGUAGCUCCGGCGAUCAGCACUGCCGAGCCUUCCGGUGGCCGCACCAAUUACCCUUCCGGAUCAUUGCCAUAUUCUGCAAAUCGAUUGGUUCUACCAUACGAACUGCAUGCACAGAUAGUAUAACAAGAAUUUCAGAUUUAAGCCUGAAAACACACUCUCAUACAAUUCACUCCCCUAUACAGAACAACUUCAGAUUUAAGCUUGGGAGGCUAGGACCAAGUAUGAAACACAAGGUAAUGAAUGUUCAACCAUACUAUUGAGAAUAAUAAUGUAAAAAAAAAUUAGGUGUAUGUCAAUGAGCUCUACACCCAGAGAAGUAUCUUGCUGAUUGUUUUGACCCUUUUAUAGGUCACUGUACAUCAAAGCAAUAAGCAUAAGAUGGAGAUAUUCCUGAGCAAUUCUCGGUUGCCCUACGCCUAUAUAUGCUCCAAUUUCCUUUGCACUCUUUCUCAUAUUGUUUUGAAGAAAAGAGCUGGAAAGCAACCACAGGUCCAUCCUCUAUUGUUGUCGCUCCUCCAUUAUUUGUGCCGUAGGUUCUAGGUUCAUCUGUGCAUCCUAACCAGAUAUGAUUGUUCUCAAGAAAAUUGUUUUGGCUUGGUAAUAGAAGAAGAAAAAGAAUGGAGAAGUGCUUGGCUCGGUUGUGGAUCUCGGGCUGGUCAUGUACUGCUGGCUGGACUGGAGAGGACCUCCACGCUGUCGAGCUCUUACUGGGCUGGUGCUUUCAGUUCGCCAUGAUCAGAAACCCUAUCUGAAAGCCUGCAAAGCGCGUAGGCAGGGCAGGUGGAGGCAUACCUAGGUUGCCGCCGUGGCGGACAAAGGAGCAGCCAGAGUGUUGUGCGGCAAAGGAGGCGCAAGCGGCGAGGAUCUGGUCGCGGAGCUCGCCGAGGCGCGCGGCAACAUCGGGCUCCUUCCAGGAUGCCUCGCGCCGCUCCUCUUCGUGCUUGAUCCGCAUGUAGGACGCCCGCAUCCGUAGACGCCAUCUGUCGUGGAAUUGUCACGGCAGAUGUCCUUAGUGUCAGGACUUAGUCGCGAGGCCAACACAUCUAUGUGGUAGCUUGAGAGGGGUUGAACGGGACGAGAGACGCGAUGUUUUACCCAGGUUCGGCCCCUCACGGUGGAGGUAAAAGCCUACAUCCUGCUUCAUUGAUAUUGAUGAUGAUGAUCACGGUUACAAGAGUGCUCUAUCUCGAGAGCUAUUGUCUAAACCUAACUUGUCCAACUUGUGGAACUUGUCAAUCUUGUCCCCUUUUGGGGAGCCCUGCCCCUCCUUAUAUAUGUUGAAGGGGCGGUUUACAUAUGGAGUCCUAUUAGGAUUAGGACUAGUCUAUCUCUAAUACAAACCGGAUACAAGUCCAGGUCUUAACUCCUUGUAGGACAAAUAUUCCUCAUGCCUUUCCUCUUAAACCGGCCCACCGUUAAACGUGAACCGGCCUUCUGGGCCUUGGGCCUUGUCAUCCGUCUGUCUCGCACGCCGGAUCACCAGUGAGUCAUAAUGACCAGGUGGGUUGCUUGUAAACCGCCAGGUCAGGGCGGGUCGCCAGUAACUCGUCAAGUGUCAGCGGGGUCUUCAGAUAAACCGCCAAGUCCGGCCGGGGUAACUUUCGGCCGGUUUACACCGCGGGGUAUAUCCCCGACAUUAGCCCCCAAGUUUAGCUUGGAUUUAUUCAUAGUAAACUUAUGCUGCAAAAUAAACACAAGAACAAAUUUGACAGGUUAUGCUCCGCGUUAAGAAUUUUUGUAAACUGGUACCUGAUCAUCCUUAAGUCCUUGUUAUUUCCUCCUUCUGGGAAAUCCAGAUCAAUAAACCAACUUCAUACUCAAUUUGCCGACAUUGGUUUGUCACCGAGAAAUAUUGUGAAGAAUAAAUCCUUUGACUCAGCUCCCAAAGCACCGGUUUAAGAAAUAUGGGUCUGAAAAUACUUAUCUGAUAUUCAGCCGGUUUGAAGAUGUAAAACUUGCCAGUUUAAUAUUACCAAAAUGGCCGGUUUAUAAAUAUUGAUGGCACCGGGUCAUAAUUGUUGUCGACACCGGGUCAUGUAAUUGAUCUUCCUGAUUUGCUCAAAACUGAUAAAAUGAAGAUGUUCCUCCUUUAUAUGCAUAAUACCUGUAGCCCCCAAGUAUUAAGAGGAGAACAUAGUGAUAACUUAAGACUUGCUCCAAUAAGUGUUUCAACCUUGAAGAAAUCCGAUUAGUUCAUCUCAAUCAUAUAAACUGAAUACUCCAUAUAUGUAGCCCCCAAGUGCCGGGUUGUCAUGCUUGCAGCAACCUGGGACUUGUAAUUUCCUGAUGCUCAUAAAAAACUUCAACCAGUGUAGCCCCCAAGGGCCGGGUCAUUAUGUAAAUAAUGAGCAGGGACUUUGAAAAUAUGAUCAUGUAGACUUUAACAGCAACGUGUAGCCUCCAAGGGCCGGCUCAGUAAGAUAAUAUUGAGUUGGGACUUUAUAUAUACUUCAUUGAGAAUAACAUUAUAUUAUGUAACUCCCAUCAUGGGGCUUGAACCCAUAUUCACAAGGUUGAGAGCUUUGUGCUUUACCAACUGAGCAAUGGAUCCUUCAAUAAUAGAUGAAAACGUGUGUACCUUGAAUUGUUGACAGGAGCAAUUGGUAGCUCCCAAGUGUCAUGGUGCAUGCUUGCAGUGACAUGAGACUUGCAUGUAAUCUCGAUUUGAAUAACGUAGCCCCCAAGUGCCGGGUUGUAAGCCUGCAGCGACUCAGGACUAUUCAUUCCAUUGUAGAAUAAAUCAUAUCUAUUGAUAAUAUGAUAGCCAUUACGCUAAAGCGACUUUGAAAACCUUACUCAUAAUACUAGUUAUUGAUAACCAUAAUAAAAAUCCAGCCAUGUUGGCUAUUUGAAUAAUAUACCCAAUGAUUUAUAGGCCAUAAUUCCAAUGGUGCAAUCCAAAUAUAUACUGGCAACUUAUAGUCCAAAGCCAGGCCAGUUCAAUAAACACCGGUGAUUUGUAAUUAUGCUUUAUUCAACCUGUUUCUGCAUACAACAAGUGUAAAGUAUCCUGGCGGUUUACCGCCGGACGGGUCAUAACGCCCAACAUAGAACCCGGGUUUAUAACCAAGGCUGCAUUUAAGAAUAAUCAAAUAUGAAAUAUAUCAUACCUGUGACAUUGAAUCACAUUGUUGGUUUUAUCAACUUUUUGUAGUAAAGGUGAUAACCCCAAUCUUGAGUACUGAUAACUCCUUCCAUAUUGUGCCGGUUUAUGAUAAAACCGUGCCGGGCUGUGAUAAACACCGGUUUACUCCAUAAUAGGAUGGUAACAGAAAAUCAAACCGGGCAGAUAGUCUCCAGAUUAAGAUUUGACCGUGUUCCGUCAAUUUGUAAUUGACAGUUUGGGCCGGUUUAAAACUUUGUCGGUUUAAAAACGCAACAAAAAUAAAAGAAACAGUUAUCAAGGAAAAUAUUGAAGCAAAGGCAAUGAUAAAACCAUUUGCAAAAAAGAGGCUUAUUUGAGCUGAUCAGAUGGUGUUACCAUGGUCGGACACGACCAAGCUCCCGAUAGGUGUAACUAUGGUUCAAGUCAGCCAGGUCCCCAAAUGAAACCGUGGCAUUUAUGCCGAUCAAGUGGCAUGGCAAUGGUUCGGGUUCGACCAAGCCCCCAAGUGAUUCUGUGGCCUUAGGCCGAUCAAGAGGCAUGACUGGUUCAGACGUGACCAAGUCCCCAAGUGAUCUGGUGGCUCUCGCCUAUCAAGACGUAUUGCAUUUGUUCGGACACGACCAAGCCCCCAAGUGAUGUAACAUGAUGCUUUUGAAAAGCUAACUCAAGGGGUAAACCGGAGGCCGCUUUAGAACAACUCCGUGUAACCACACAUGAUGUAAAAGAACCGAGACCCCGCUUUAUGAAGCAGAAGCCCCCAUGUGAUCAAUAAUAUGUCAGGCCAGUAAGGCGGGAUACCCAUGUUUAAACCGCGCAUCAUGGCAGCAGGUCCUCUUUGGCAAUUUUUAACUUUUUGCAAGAGAUAAAUUCUUCUUGAACCGGGAUCUUGAACCGGAUAUUGAGAGCUUCAAAGCUUUGUGGGAGACAUCUUUCCCUUGAACCGGAUUUUAAACCGGAAUCUUCAUUUUUAGCUGGAAAUUUUCUGACGGCCUUUAAACUCGAACUUGCGAGAAGUUAAUUCCUUUUUGAACCGGAAAUUCUUAAACCGGAUUUGAGAGCUUCAGAGCUUUGUCAGAGAACAAAUUUCCCUUGUACCGGAUUGUAAACCGGAAUCCUUUUCUGAUGACCCGAAACUUCUUCAUUGAGCCGGAAUUUUGCAACUGUCAUAUACUUUCUAAUCCGGAAAUCUUCUGACAGCACAAUGUGAAUCUGGGACCAGGUUAUCUUUCCCUCCAACGUAUUGGGGUUCUUGACUUCACUGAAAACCGGCAACGUUUGCUAAGUCAUAUCAUUGUAGCCCCCAAGUCUCAAGGUGACUCGAGGAGUUGGCUUGAGAUUCUCCAUAUUUGACCGUGAUAUAAACCGGCAUAACUUGUAUAUCAUUGGCGUUGAUAGCACGAUGUGAAUCCACAGAAAGUUGAGGUGACUGCGGCGGGUUAUAAAUGAUCCCAUACGAGCCAUGUCAGCAACUCGGCCAAUGGUUCCUUCCAACUGACUUGUUCGAAGUUAACCAAACUAUAGUGGCAGUGAUUUGUGCGCAUGUCCAUUGAUCCAUCCAGUGCAGACGGUGGCUGAAUGAUAAUUUGCCUCCAAUUUGUUGGAAGAAAACCGGGCUACCCAAGCUGUGACUUGCUCAUACUCAAUAAACAGCUCAGGCAAACAGGUGCGGCCUGACGUGUUGAUGUAGACCAGGCCAUGAGAGACGGACGGAAAAUACGUCCGCAGCAUCAGAGGCGGCACAGACAGAUGAGUCGGUCGCGGCAUUGUAAACCGGUGCAGACGGAGAAAAUCAGCACCAAUGUCGUAAACCGUCACGGACGGGCGAGUUAACCGCGGGCGCGGUCCCGGCAAGCUGAUGUAAACCAGACCACCGGGACAGCAACUUGCGCACGUUCAUUCACCGGGUGGUUGACACGGAUGAAACGCGGGUGCAUAGCAUUGCUAGUGCGUGCUCCGUGCCCGUAAUAUAACGUCUCAUUUGUAAUGAAAAAUUGUCCUACGUCAAAAAAUAUCACAUGCCAAAGUAAUUGUUUCUUGACAAAAAUAAUAUGUGCUAAUAAAAUAGGCCUUAAAUGGAUAUCACCUGAUUUGUCCACACGGCGGAUGAUCCGUAUUCAGUGUUCGUGAAUAAUCUCCAGUAGAUUCAAUAGCAAUUUAGCCACUCUCUCGAGACCGCGGCAGCUCACAUCAGACUCGCGACGGCUCAGAAUAAGGCCUGGCUUUGGAGGCAGAGGCGGCCGAUGACUUGCAAGUAGCAGGCGAGUCGAGGAACCCGCGACCGCCCACGGCGGUUCAAAGCAGAAGCAAACAGCGGGUGUCGGAGACUUGCAGGAGAAGUGCGGCGAGGCCGCGCUGCAGCAACUCGGAUGGAGGACGGUUUGCGGCAGAGGUGAUCACGGCAACAGCUCACCGAUGAGGGUAGAAAGGCGGAGGGGCGGACCAGCUCGGAAAUUUGAUAAUUUGAGGCGUACACAACGGUGAUUCGGUGCAUUGGCAACCCGGCGACGGGCGGCCAUGGUGACUCACAACAGACGCGGGCGGUUUAAGACCGGAGCGAAGCACGGCGACGGCGAAUCUCAACAGACGCGGGCGGUUCAGGGCCAGCCACGGCGGGCCACGGCUGUGGAAGCGCGUGGCAGCACAGGGGUAUCGAACCGGCCGCGGUGAAGGCAGGCGAAGACAACGGGAGCUCGAGGCGAGGCCGCGGUAGUAGCGUGAACCGGUGAUGCAAGGUCGAUGAUGUGGCAAUCCAUGGCCACGACGGGUUGAUAAAAGCGGCUCGAUCGUUGAGCUGUGGCCGCUUGUGUAGAUACAGAGGCGACUUGUCAAGGCCACGGUUGUCGCGGCGAUGAAAUUGGCGGGUCACACGGCGCCUGAACAAGGCUGGGAGCGACCCGCCACUGGCUUGGCGCAGGCGGCUUGAGGCCGAGGUGGCCCGAGCGGCGGUUCUGGCAAUGAGGCAAUGGGGCAUCGGGGCUGGCAGGCGCGCUCAACGAGGCGGGUCAAUACACACAGCCAGCGGGUCUCUGCAUCGGCGGCGAGCUAGCUUGGCAAUCUGAUAAGUCUCAAUCUAUGACCCCAUCAGUUUCCAGGUUAUCUCUGUUUUUCGGGUCGAAGCCGUGUCUAUCUUGUUGGCUGAGACCGGCCGGCAAUUUGCUUAGGCCGGCUUUGUUUAAUCACUCCCAUGCUGAAAUCACCUGCUGACACUUCUUUGUGUUCCGUGCAUCAAAACAAGUGAUCAAUUCCAAUUUCUUCCAGCAUUGCCACAUCAUCCCUUGUUACUUUGUUUAACAAGGAAACCGACGAGGACCCCGGCGAUUUGAUAAAGUAGAUGUUGUCUUUUGCCCGCACGGUGGCCGAUGUAGCAAAUAUCAAUUUGUCUUCGGAUUCGGUGAAUCGCCGGAUCAUGUUUAUCUGUUGCAUCGUAACCCUAAAUUUCCACUGUUCCUCUGGACUCGAAAACUUACCCUGCCAGAUUCGUAGUUGUCCAUCAAAUUUACCCGCCCGCAGCUCUGCUUAAUAUUGUUGAUCCUUGCAGUUCUUCUUCAUCCGUAAACUGCGAGCUUCUCAAUCCUAGAGAGGUCCCUUCAAGAACUCAACACCACCGUGCGCAGGCCCCACGGUGGGCGCCAACUGUCGUGGAAUUGUCACGGCAGAUGUCCUUAGUGUCAGGACUUAGUCGCGAGGCCAACGCAUCUAUGUGGUAGCUUGAGAGGGGUUGAACGGGACGAGAGACGCGAUGUUUUACCCAGGUUCGGCCCCUCAUGGUGGAGGUAAAAGCCUACAUCCUGCUUCAUUGAUAUUAAUGAUGAUGAUCACGGUUACAAGAGUGCUCUAUCUCGAGAGCUAUUGUCUAAACCUAACUUGUCCAACUUGUGGAACUUGUUAAUCUUGUCCCCUUUUGGGGAGCCCCGCCCCUCCUUAUAUAUGUCGAAGGGGCGGUUUACAUGUGGAGUCCUAUUAGGAUUAGGACUAGUCUAUCUCUAAUACAAACCGGAUACAAGUCCAGGUCUUAACUCCUUGUAGGACAAAUAUUCCUCAUGCCUUUCCUUUUAAACCGGCCCACUGUUAAACGUGAACCGGCCUUCUGGGCCUUGGGCCUUGUCAUCCAUCUGUCCCGCACGCCGGAUCACCAGUGAGUCAUAAUGACCAGGUGGGUUGCUUGUAAACUGCCAGGUCAGGGCAGGUCGCCAGUAACUCGCCAAGUGUCAGCGGGGUCUUCAGAUAAACCGCCAAGUCCGGCCGGGUUAACUUCCGGCCGGUUUACACCGCGGGGUAUAUCCCCGACACCAUCUCUCCAUUCCUUCACCGCUUGCCACUCCGGUUGCUUCGGGAGGUUGGUUCCUCGCGCCUUGGGUAGCAGAGGAGAGGAGGAGUGGCAGGCGGCGGCGAUGGGAAUAGGGAGGAGUUGUGUGGCGGCUGGGGGAGAGGUGGGCGCUAUGGUUGGAGUUGGAGACGUGAUUUUUUUGUUACAACUGAUACGAUGAUGUUUGCUCGGGGGAUGACGUCGUGAGCGGAUUAGUGGGCAUGCGUGGAGACCGUACGAUGGUGGCAGACUGGCAGAACAUUUAAUCUCAUCCAUUCGUUUCAAUGGCAGACCAUCAAAGUAAUACGGGAUCUUAGAUACAAUUAAGUGGGUUAGAUCUGAUAUAUCCGUAUCUAGACAAAUCUAAGACAAGAAUUUUGGGACGGAGGGAGUAGUAGUAUAGAUAUAGAUAUAGAUAUCUUUCCUUAAUAAUAAAGCACGGAUUGACUCCGUGGGUUCACCAUCACAAUACGCUUUUUUCUCAUGUCAUAAUACGCUUUUACGAUUUGUAGAGACAAAAUCGCAAUAUAAACGAGGUGGUAUUAUUAGGAAAAGAGAGAACCCGCAGUCCUAGCCCAACUCUUGCUGAACUGUCGGGCAUCUUCCUGCGCGGUCUGGCCUGGGCCAGCGCGCUUCCCUGGGCUGAGCUGGGCCAGCUACGCAUCUUCCUGCGCGGUCUGGCCUGGGCUGGCGCACUUCCCUAGCCAAGCUCGCCAGCUACACAUCCUUUUUUCAGUGAAAGGCAACAAUCAGCAAAAAGUUAAUAGAGCUCGUAUGGGAUUCGAACGCUGGACCAUCCCACUCAAAUAUAAGGGCGCAACCAGCUGGGAAAGCACACACUUUUGGUUCAUAACAUGGUUUGCUUUCCAAUAGUCCAUCUUUAUUAUUUUUACCAAAUUCUACUAAUUUAUAUACCUUCACAAGUUGCCUAUCAACAAGCCUUGAGAAGCAAGAAAUAAGGGAUCAAAUAAAUCAACUCCAGAAAUUGAGUGGUCAAUGCACGACUGCUGAUUGGCUGGCUAAUUAUUGUAAAUGGUAUCUUAAGGAAUUAAGUCAGCGUUGCAUGCAGGAUUAGCGGGAAGGAAGGACAAAUGGAACCCCAGCCAUGCAUGCAUGCGAGCUCCGGUGAGAGAUCAAUUCCGCCCAUUAAAUUAUGUUGCUCCCAUGAGAUUUUUUCUUCUAAAAUCCCAAAUGGAUUUUCUAAAUUUUACGUGAAUGAACCCCAGACGGAUUUGUGGGCGAUAUGUUUGAAUCUCCAAGAAGCUUCAACGAGGGGCGCUGGUGCAUGCGUUCGGGUUGAAUCUCCAAGAAGCUUCACCGACUUCCCAUUGGUAAGUCCAAUUUAUUUUGUGUUUCAACCUUCUUCCUAUAGCACUUGUGCUUGAUAAUGAUGUUGUACACAAAAUGGCUUAUGAGAUAUCUGGAUAAUGUGUAUACAAAUGAUUUUUGGUUAAUAAUUUGUAUGAUUCAUUUGGCAAAAAAAUAUUCUUGUUCUUUGUGGAGCUUUAUACAGCAGUUCUGUCAUCAUAGCCUUUUCAAGUCUGUACAUCUACAUGGAAAGGUUCGCCUACAAACUAGGGUUCACUUGGGUUAAAAAAAGUAUAUUUUACACACACAAAAUGCUUGAAGUUCAAUUACUGAUUCUUAGUAAGUACACUCUAUUUUGGGGAGUGCACAUCUUGCUUAGAAAACAUGGGUAAGUUCAUGAAGAGAAAAAUCAUACGUUGAAAAUCUAGGAAAGCGGUAAUCCAUAGGCCCAUGCCACAGUGCCGAUGCAUACAUGCCUGCUUCUACCCGCAGUUUUACUAGUUGUUUGUUGAACAUUCCAUGGAAUGUUUUUAGAUGCUAAGUGCCAGUGCCACGGUUGAUGGUGGUAUACAUAAAAAACAAUGCAUUGUGGCAGUGUAGCUGAACUAGAGCAUCGAAGGCUAAUUAAUUGUAGUUUCUUGUUGCACAAUAACAGUUUGUGUGCACCAUGUGUGUAAGAAUGUUGUUGCUGGAUGGCCAAAAAAACAGAGCUUAAUUAGUCUCGACAAUACAAUGGUUGGCUGGAGAUUUCUUUUUACUUGUCCAGAGAAAAUUAUAUCUAUACUAUGUGUAUCAGUUUAUGAUAUAAUUUUCAUCAAUUCAUAAUUCUAUCUUCUUAUGAUAUAUAAAAAUAUACUAGUUUGGAUCUUCAUUAGUUUCUCAGUCUUCAGUCUCAUUUUCUUCUUCAGUACGUCUUGUCCCUAUGUCAUUCUCAGUAAUUGUUUAGUAUUAGCUAUUCUGGUUAUCAUUCAGAGAUAAGAGGUGAGUGUUUGGUGUUUCACUCCAUCUAGCGGGGAGGCGCCUCGGCCGCUGUCCGAUGGACCGUCUGGUCUGCCGCCUUCUCCGUCCGAUGGGCAGCAAACCUCUUGGCUGCUCUGCGGUGGUUCCUCUUGUCGUCCCUCCGCAUGGCCGUAUUGUGCUGAUGCUGCUGCAGCUGCUGCAUAUUUGCGCUGGGCUUGCAGUUUCCUCAUUGCACUGCUUGAUUUCUUAUGUGAUGCCGCAGACAGAAAGUUUCUGAGUACGUGAUGCAUCGAUGGACGCACCCCAAGCGGCCAAACACGACGUGUUUUGUCCUGUGCGCAGAAGCUUUGGAGGCGAUGUGUUGCCCUUAGUACUUUCUCGACAAAUCCAGCAGUGUUGUUUCAUAUAGAACUUGAAAUUACCUAUCUGCCAUGGGGAUGUACUGCCCUCAGCCCUCUCUCAGCAAAACUAGCAGUGCAGGUUCUCUGGUAUACAUCUUAAUAAGUUUUAACAUGUACAUCUUUUCAGUACAAAUUUUUAAGAAGUUUCUUUCUGAACUUCUCACAAUUAAUAUACAUGAACUUGAUUAUCUUUUUAACAUGUACUAAUAUCAGCUUCGUUGGAUUUUUGUGCGUGUGUUUGUAACACAAUCAGUUCAGAUCUCGAGAGACCGUAAGUUCAAUUACCACUGAGCAUCCAAAAUGGAUACAAGAUCAGAACAUGGACAAUCACCAUGCGAGUAAACCCUUUUUGUUCCUUGUGAAGUAUUACCUUUCAAUUAUUGAAACAUCAAGUUUCUUGUAAGUAACUGUUAGUACUAAUGCAAUCAUCUAAUCUUUUUUCUUAUGUCAUUAGCAACUAUUUUUUUGCUUCAGUCAUACAUAAGUAUCUUGAUUCUUGUUUACCUCUUAUUGCAGGAUGAUUCCAUUCUCUGCAAUUUCCAUUAGACAAGUGGGCUAGGUCCAAAGAUCGGGGAACAAUAUGGCGCUCUAUUUGAGGAAGAGGAAUUGAAUAGACACAAAGAGUGUAUAUUUACUUUUCUUGUAAGUAAACCUGCCGCCGAUCCUCCACUGCUCCAUUAAUGCUCCCCUAGCAUGUGCAAGUCCCCUUGUUAUACUCUUUAUUUAUUUCUGUACCAUUAGCAAUGUAAGCACCAAAAUUAGGCUUCCAGUUUGCUAAGUUGCUUUAGUACCAGUAUCAAAAUGUAUAUGUUAUAGCAGUUCCAUUUGUUAAUUGCUAUUGCAGAUUCAGUAAAUGCUGCCUAAUUUGUCUUCUUAGUGUAGUUUUAUUGUGAAGAUUUUUUAAUGCACACCGAAACCAGAUGUCUACUGCUACAUGCGCAUCAUAUGCAUAUUUUUCCAUCGAGAAACCUCAUCAUAUGUAUUUGUCUUCUAACUUUAGAUUUUGAUAAUGCGAAGUUAUAUACGUGUACACAUUUCUAAUUUCUAUUGCUAUUAGUUCAAAUGAUCAAUUGAUAUAAGUUCCCAUGAUAUUGUCCCAUCAGUUCAAGUGAUCAUUGUUGUCUUUGUUUAAGCUGUUCAAGUACAAAAUUAGUAGCAUUGAUCUUUGUGCAGCGAUCAGGACGUUCAGCUCUGCCUCCGCAAGCCGUUCACCCCUGCCACAGGAGGCCGUUCGACGAUGCAGCGCUAUCAUGUUGUGUUUUUUCAGUACAUGUUUUGUGUGCUUUUCAGUUCACCUACUUGAUGAUUCUAUGUCCAAUUUCCCCCCCGUUUAUGUGUUCUUCCUAUAGUAAACUAGGUGUUUGUGUUGUGCCUUAAUAAGCAUUACCUUGUAUGGAUCAAAACUACCAUAUGUUCUUGUAAAUGAAGCUCUGCUUCUGUUUUGUUUGAAGUUAUUUGAUACGUCUCCGUCGUAUUUACUUUUUCAAACACUUUUGCCCGUGUUUUGGACUCUUAACUUGUAUGAUUUGGAUUUUUUUUUCAAAUCUAUGACGCAUUUUAUAGCAAAUUCGAAAACUAUAGCAAAGAAUAGAGAAAAAUCAAAA